AGCUUGCUUUUUCUAGGCGUCGACCGGCGCACGGGUGAGUAACGCGUAUCCAACCUGCCCAUCACUUGGGGAUAACCUUGCGAAAGUAAGACUAAUACCCAAUGAUAUCUCUAGAAGACAUCUGAAAGAGAUUAAAGAUUUAUCGGUGAUGGAUGGGGAUGCGUCUGAUUAGCUUGUUGGCGGGGUAACGGCCCACCAAGGCGACGAUCAGUAGGGGUUCUGAGAGGAAGGUCCCCCACAUUGGAACUGAGACACGGUCCAAACUCCUACGGGAGGCAGCAGUGAGGAAUAUUGGUCAAUGGGCGAGAGCCUGAACCAGCCAAGUAGCGUGCAGGAAGACGGCCCUAUGGGUUGUAAACUGCUUUUAUAAGGGAAUAAAGCGGGAGUCGUGACUCCUUUUGCAUGUACCUUAUGAAUAAGGACCGGCUAAUUCCGUGCCAGCAGCCGCGGUAAUACGGAAGGCCCGGGCGUUAUCCGGAUUUAUUGGGUUUAAAGGGAGCGUAGGCCGGAGAUUAAGCGUGUUGUGAAAUGUAGACGCUCAACGUCUGCACUGCAGCGCGAACUGGUUUCCUUGAGUACGCACAAAGUGGGCGGAAUUCGUGGUGUAGCGGUGAAAUGCUUAGAUAUCACGAAGAACUCCGAUUGCGAAGGCAGCUCACUGGAGCGCAACUGACGCUGAAGCUCGAAAGUGCGGGUAUCGAACAGGAUUAGAUACCCUGGUAGUCCGCACGGUAAACGAUGGAUGCCCGCUGUUGGUCUGAAUAGGUCAGCGGCC
rnacentral:rRNA from 1 species